rnacentral:rRNA from 1 species
UACAUGGGGUGCAAACGUUGCUCGGAAUCAUUGGGCGUAAAGCGCGCGUAGGCGGUUAUUUAAGUUGGAUGUGAAAGCCCUCGGCUUAACUGAGGAAGUGCAUCCAAAACUGAAUAGCUAGAGUACGAAAGAGGGUCGCGGAAUUCCCGGUGUAGAGGUGAAAUGCGUAGAGAUCCGGAGGAACCCCAGAGGCGAAGGCGGCGUCCUGGCUCGCAUCUGACGCUCAGACACGACAGCAUGGGGAGCGAACGGG